rnacentral:rRNA from 1 species
UACAGAGGUCUCAAGCGUUGUUCGGAUUCAUUGGGCGUAAAGGGCGCGUAGGCGGCUCUGUAAGUCGGGUGUGAAAUUUCGGAGCUUAACUCCGAAACUGCAUUCGAUACUGCGGUGCUUGAGGACUGGAGAGGAGACUGGAAUUCACGGUGUAGCAGUGAAAUGCGUAGAUAUCGUGAGGAAGACCAGUGGCGAAGGCGGGUCUCUGGACAGUUCCUGACGCUGAGGCGCGAAGGCCAGGGGAGCAAACGGG